UUCUUGUGUACAGACAAAUAUAAUCAUUGUUGAUAUGUGAUUUUUGAGAUUAUUUUUACUGUAUUUUCUUAUGUGCAUAGUGCAGGCCAAUUGUUUGAUGAAAUACACGUAUUCUCCUGUUGAACUCUACAAACAUAUAAAAGGACUAAAAUGAGCCUAUGUAUAGCAGAAAUUUGAAGCUACGUGUUUGGAGAUGCAAUAGGCUAUGUAUCAAAAAUUAAAUGCCAUGUUUUUGUAUAAUUUCGAUUAUACACAGGCAUACAAGUUUCUCGAGAACUACUUGAUGGCCCUCACUGGACUGAUAAUGGGUCCUAAUCUUAAAUCUCUAGAGCAAACAUUUAAUCUGUGUGAUGUUCUCGACUAUAUAAACUCUUUGCUUUAGGUAAGAUUGUUUAGUUCAAACCCAAGCUGAAAUUUUUACUUGCAGUUGUGCUCACUUGACAGCUCUAAGACGAGAUUCAAAUGGUAAGACAGUUAUUUUCAGUUCAGUUUUUAUUGAAAGUUACUGAAAGUCUUGGGUUGUCUUUUUUUGUAUUUGAAAAUAGUUGUGACAAAGGGUUCCCUUUAUCUAGAACAUCAAGAGAUAAGAGAGGUCUUCGUUGAAUUUAUGAGUCUUUGUUUUGCAGCACAUUACUUUCCAUACUUAAGGAGAAUCAUGUGGAUAGUGAAGCAGAAAGAGAGAAGAUUUAAGGUCAAACUAUAAAGACAAGUAGGGGAGAUUAUCGCAGGAUUGUAGAAUAUGGACAAAGACAAUAGACUUCUACUGUUACUACUGCGGAUAAGAUUCUGAACCUAACAAAGGAGACAAAGAGGAUACUUCCAGUGUUGAAUGACAAACUUGCUCUUCCCAUUUUUGCCAAAUAAUUCUUGUGAAAUAGCUUGUACCUUUCAUUUUGUUUAACAAUGCAGUAGCAACAUUCUCCUAUAUUUCAAUUAUUUGUAAUGUACC